rnacentral:rRNA from 1 species
GAUGAACGCUGGCGGCGUGCCUAACACAUGCAAGUCGAGCGAAGCACUCUACCUGAUUUCUUCGGGAUGAAGGUUUAGUGACUGAGCGGGCGACGGGUGAGGUACGCGUGGGUAACCUGCCUCAUACAGGGGGAUAACAGUCAGAAAUGACUGCUAAUACCGCAUAAGCGCACGAAACCGCAUGGUUUUGUGUGAAAAACUCCGGUGGUGUGAGAUGGACCCGCGUUGGAUUAGCCAGUUGGCAGGGUAACGGCCUACCAAAGCGACGAUCCAUAGCCGGCCUGAGAGGGUGAACGGCCACAUUGGGACUGAGACACGGCCCAG